rnacentral:rRNA from 1 species
UUUUAUUUGAGAGUUUGAUCCUGGCUCAGGAUGAACGCUGGCGGCGUGCCUAACACAUGCAAGUUGAGCGAUUUACUUCGGUAAAGAGCGGCGGACGGGUGAGUAACGCGUGGGUAACCUACCCUGUACACACGGAUAACAUACCGAAAGGUAUGCUAAUACGGGAUAAUAUAUUUGAGAGGCAUCUCUUGAAUAUCAAAGGUGAGCCAGUACAGGAUGGACCCGCGUCUGAUUAGCUAGUUGGUAAGGU